rnacentral:rRNA from 1 species
AGUGAACGCUGGCGGUAGGCCUAACACAUGCAAGUCGAACGGCAGCACAGGAGAGCUUGCUCUCUGGGUGGCGAGUGGCGGACGGGUGAGGAAUACAUCGGAAUCUGCCCAGUCGUGGGGGAUAACGUAGGGAAACUUACGCUAAUACCGCAUACGACCUUCGGGUGAAAGAGGGGGAUCGCAAGACCUCUCGCGAUUGGAUGAGCCGAUGUCGGAUUAGCUAGUUGGCGGGGUAAUGGCCCACCAAGGCGACGAUCCGUAGCUGGUCUGAGAGGAUGAUCAGCCACACUGGAACUGAGACACGGUCCAGACUCCUACGGGAGGUAGCAGUGGGGAAUAUUGGACAAUGGGCGCAAGCCUGAUCCAGCCAUACCGCGUGGGUGAAGAAGGCCUUCGGGUUGUAAAGCCCUUUUGUUGGGAAAGAAAUCUUUCAGGCUAAUACCCUGGGAGGAUGACGGUACCCAAAGAAUAAGCACCGGCUAACUUCGUG